rnacentral:rRNA from 1 species
UGAGCGUCUUAUUUUAAUAAGUCAAAACUUUCAACAACGGAUCUCUUGGUUCUGGCAUCGAUGAAGAACGCAGCGAAAUGCGAUAAGUAAUGUGAAUUGCAGAAUUCAGUGAAUCAUCGAAUCUUUGAACGCACAUUGCGCCCAUUAGUAUUCUAGUGG